rnacentral:rRNA from 1 species
AUACGGAGGAUCCGAGCGUUAUCCGGAUUUAUUGGGUUUAAAGGGUGCGCAGGCGGGAGAUUAAGUCGGCGGUGAAAUUUUGCAGCUCAACUGUAAAAAUGCCUUCGAAACUGGUUUCCUUGAGUGUAGAUGAAGUAGGCGGAAUUUGUGGUGUAGCGGUGAAAUGCAUAGAUAUCACGAGGAACUCCGAUUGCGCAGUCAGCUUACUAAACUACUACUGACGCUCAGGCACGAAGGCGUGGGGAUCAAACAGGAGUAGAUACCCUGGUAGUCCACGCAGUAAACGAUGAUUACUAGCUGUUUGCGAUACAAUGUAAGCGGCUGAGCGAAAGCGUUAAGUAAUCCACCUGGGGAGUACGUUCGCAAGAAUGAAACUCAAAGGAAUUGACGGGG